rnacentral:lncRNA from 1 species
GUAAACAAUUAAUAUGCAGAAUGAUUAGCUAGGAGUUCCACAUUUCGGUAGUUCUAGCCGUGUAGUCUUGUGUUGGAAAUGCUGGAACAACAACAAAUCCAAUAUAGCCCCACAAGUGCGGUCUAGGGAGAGUAGUGUGUAUGUAGACCUUACCCCUACCUUGUGAAGGUAGAGAUGUUGUUUCUGAUAGACCCUCGGCUCCAGUAAAGAUGAACAUAAAGUAGCAGUAAUAAGCAGAAGAAUGCAGGAAAUAACACAGAAAUAGUCAUGGUAAACGAGAAGAAUAAAGAAUGAAGAAUGAAUGCCAAGAUUUAGAUGAAAAAUUCUUUUUAAAUAAGAAAAACAAAACUAUGGUUGAUGCACAAAAUAUCACUAUCGUAAGGAGAUUUUACAACCAGUAUAUGUGUAGACUCUCUAAUCUAAUUCAUGUUCCACAUAAACUAUCUUCAUAAAAAUGUUUUUGAGCAUGUCAGAUGAUAAGUGCAAUUUGAUUGCAUACUGACAGCUUUUCAUCUAAAGCUGACCAAUCUUUAUCUUUUCUGAUAUUUGGCUUCUAAUUGUGCCUUCUCUGGCUUGUGUAGUCAUUGUCAAAUGAGCAAAUCCAUCAUCCUUCUAGUGGCUCCAGGGACACGGGAAUAAUACGAAAAUGAUCACAACAAACAAUGAACACCCAAAGUUACAUGAAAAAACCUUCUUAAAAAGCGGAAUCGCUAUACUAAGGAGAUUUUACAACCAGUACUUAAAGCAUCACAAAUUCUUUGAUCGAGGCUAUUACACACUCAAAAGAAAUACCCUCUUUUGAUGCAUAAUUCAUCAGACUAUGUUUCUCCCUAUUACUUAAAUAUAAAUACGAGAGGAUGAAGUCUUCCAUUUGUUGUAGAAGAAAAAUAUGUUCUCCAAUCCAAGAAACAGUGACAAAAAAAAUGUCCCUAUGUUUUCUGAUAUUCUACUCUAUUGAUCAAAUGCAGGUUUAGGUCUUGGAUUAUUGUCACUACUGGUUAGUGUCACUUGGAUAUAUUUCGGUAUAAAAAGGAGAAAAAUUUUAAAAUUGCGGGAGAAGUUCUUCGAGCAAAAUGGUGGUAUGCUAUUAAAGCAGCAGACGUCGUCGAAUUUAAAUAAGGUGUUUACCAUUGAAGAGCUUAAAAAAUCCACCAACAACUUUGCUAAAGAUCGCAUCCUUGGAGUAGGUGGAAAUGGCAUAGUUUACAUAGGGAUUCUACCAGAUCAACGCAUAGUUGCAAUCAAGAAGUCUAAACAGCUUGAGCAAAACCAAAUAGAAGAGUUUAUAAAUGAGGUUGUAAUACUCACUCAAAUUAACCAUAGGAAUGUGGUCAAACUAUUGGGUUGUUGCUUAGAGACCGAAGUCCCUUUAUUGGUCUAUGAAUACAUAUCUCAUGGUACCCUUUACCACCAUAUACGGAGGAAUGCCUUGGCUUUCUUGGCAAAAUCGCUUAAGAAUUGCUGUUGAAUCUGCUGAUGCCUUUAGUUAUCUCCACUAUGCAGCUUCUACACCUAUCCUACAUAGAGACAUCAAGUCAGCAAAUAUACUACUAGAUGACUACUACACAGCAAAGAUCGCUGAUUUUGGAGCUUCGAGGCUAAGACCUUUCGACCAGGCUGAUAUGAGUUCACUCAUACCAGGAACCUUGGGUUAUCUAGACCCUGAAGGCAUACAAAUGGGGUUGUCAGACAAGAGUGAUGUCUACAGUUUUGGUGUAGUUCUUGCUGAGUAUUAACGGGAAGAGAAGCUAUUGACCUCACUCUACCCAACAAAGAAAAGAGCUUAGCUGCAUAUUUCAAGGCUUCUGUGAAGGAGAAUCGCUUGUUUCCAAUUCUCCAUCAUAGGGUUUUGAAAGAAGGCUCAUUGGAGCAGCUUAAUGCCAUUGGUGAGCUUGUCAUUAGAUGUCUUAACACAAAUGGAGAAGAAAGACCUACUAUGAAAGAAGUGGCAACUGAAUUGGAAGGAUUUACUAAAUAUAAUAGCCGUGCAUGGGCUCAUCAUGAUCAAGAAAACGAUCAACUACAAAUGGGAGAAAUGAUCAGUGAACAAGAGGACCUUUAUAGUGUACUAAUGUAUACUUCCACCAAUUAUGAUACAUCAUCAAGUGAUCAACAAAACAAUGAAAUUAGCGCGAAACAUGAAGAAGACCCCCUCUUUGAUGACUAAUUAUUGAAAUUUCCAUAAAUUAGUGUAUUUGCAUGUUCAUUUGAUCAUUCAUUCAUGCUAAUAAAAAGCCAAAAAAUUUAAUAGGAUAUUUGUGUUUUUAUGUGAUCAACUUCCAUAAAUCAUUUAUUGCUUAAUUACUAUGAUAUAGAUAUACUAAUAGUCUCUACACGAGUAUUUACGUAUACGGCUAUACGCGGGGGUCAAAUUUUAAUUUUCUUAUCAUUGGCCCUAAUCGCUUUCUAAAUACCCAUUAACGAAAGCAAUGGCUUCUUGCCUCACAUUGUUCCUUCCUCUCAUUCCGCCUGGUGUCAAAGUACUGCUCCAGUGUCGUAAAACAGGAAAACUUUUCAAAAAGCAGAAUACAUCGACGCCCCCCACCCCCCCACCCCCCAAAACUAGCCAAAAAUUCUUAUUUAGAACACCUAAACUUGGGGUGCGAAAUUGAAUACUUUAAGGAGUUCAAAAUUAUUCCAAUUAAACCCCAUAAAAGAACCAGAAAGAAAUACAAAAUUUUUUAGCACUUUCGGAUGAGGUGGAAAAGGACAAAUUGAAAAAGAAAACAGCAAAAAAGAAAAAGAACUCCACCAACAUAGGAGUUCCCACACUCCUGAUCGAAGUCUUGAGAAGGAGUGGUGCAAAAUGCAAAGCAGUAGACAUAGAUGGCGAAGGAAAACUAUAGGUGAGAGGCUUGGAUCCUCCAAAAUGGGAACGCAAAGUGGUGCAUUUUGAGAAGAUUUUCACCGGUUGGAACUCAUGGUAAUGAUUUACCAGCAAUCGAAGAAGAAGGAUGGCCAAAAAAUCAUGGUUAACUUUAGAAAAGCGGAAACAAUGGCCGGAAAAAUUCGGGCAAAACUUCCAUAGUGUCCUGUAAAAGUCUUUGCUAUACACGCUCAAUCUAAAUUAGAAAAUGCACGCUCGGUCAUGUAAGCAUUAAGGGUUCAUUAGAACAGAUCUGACAACUUGAGAUGUUCCCCAACUACAGACAGGCGUCCAAAUGAAAAUUAUUGGAUAAUUCAUGGGUAGAGGCAACAAGUGUGAACGAUACAAGCUCCUGAUAACAUCAAUUAGUUGAUUAAUACAAAAUUAAAGAAUAAAGUAAAGGCUCCAGCCUACAGAAAAGACCUCACCGUUUAAGAAGUAACCACAAAAACGAAGGAACCCACUAUUUAAUUUUUUCUCUCUAAUGUACUAGGCUUUUCAUACCUAGGAGGAUGUGUGAUGAGACCUCUAUUUACUGUUGCUCCUACAAUCAUUUGACAUAUAUUUUAUAAUUUCACUACAACAAAACAGGCCAGCUGAACUAGUUUUCAAAGCAUAUAGCGGCGGUUCAAACCGCUACCUUAUGCACCGCCACAAACAGAUAUUAACUUACGGAAGGAAAGGAUUUGAACAAGAUCAAACAAGAAAAAUGAAUUCCGUAGAAAUUUCACAGAAGCAAAGGCUGAGAGUAAAGUAAAAAAGAAAUAUUUCAGAGAAAAUUAACCUGAUGGCCGACGGUCGUUGGGAGAUAAGGGAUUAGUCAGCAAUGCAACUUUUCCGCCGGUAACAAACGACAAAUGAAAAUCUGUUGAAGAGGGAAAAAAAAACAUAAGCAACUGAUGCAAUUUUAGAAAUCCCCAAUUUUUAAACCUAGGUCAAAAUCUUACUCGUCACAAAUUUUACGAAUUAUCUAUGAUUUGAGGCAUGAAAUUACCUUGAAUCAAUACAAAUAUUGGAGAAAGAAUCAUUCGAAUUCCCAAAUUCCUCAACUUUGAACCAAUGGGAGUUUCAGCUUCUGAUCGAUGAGAGUUCGUUUUCUUUGAGUUUCCCUCUUUCGAAUAAAAAUUUGAGUUUCCCUCCGUUUCUUCUUUUAUUUUGUUUCUUAAGUAAAUACUCAGUAAAAGAAAAUUAAAUUUUU